CCUACGGGAGGCAGCAGUGGGGAAUAUUGGACAAUGGGGGAAACCCUGAUCCAGCGACGCCGCGUGAGUGAAGAAGUAUUUCGGUACGUAAAGCUCUAUCAGCAGGGAAGAAGAAAUGACGGUACCUGAGUAAGAAGCACCGGCUAAAUACGUGCCAGCAGCCGCGGUAAUACGUAUGGUGCAAGCGUUAUCCGGAUUUACUGGGUGUAAAGGGAGCGGAGGCGGCACGGCAAGCCUGAUGUGAAAGCCCGGGGCCCAACCGCGGGACUGCAUUGGGAACUACCGGGCGGGAGUGCCGGAGAGGUAGGCGGAAUUCCUAGUGUAGCGGUGAAAUGCGUAGAUAUUAGGAGGAACACCAGUGGCGAAGGCGGCCUACUGGACGGUGACUGACGCUGAGGCUCGAAAGCGUGGGGAGCAAACAGGAUUAGAUACCCCGGUAGUC
rnacentral:rRNA from 1 species